rnacentral:rRNA from 1 species
UAGAGUUUGAUCAUGGCUCAGGAUGAACGCUAGCGACAGGCUUAACACAUGCAAGUCGAGGGGCAGCGGGGGUGAUGGCUUGCCAUCACCUGCCGGCGACCGGCGCACGGGUGAGUAACACGUAUGCAACCUGCCCGCCACAGGGGGAUAAGCGGAAGAAAUUCCGUCUAAUACCGCGUGACGCGGCACCGGGGCAUCCCGGUGCCGCCAAAGGGAUUACCGGUGGCGGAUGGGCAUGCGGCGCAUUAGCUAGUCGGCGGGGUAACGGCCCACCGAGGCGACGAUGCGUAGGGGUUCUGAGAGGAAGGUCCCCCACACUGGUACUGAGACACGGACCAGACUCCUACGGGAGGCAGCAGUGAGGAAUAUUGGUCAAUGGGCGGGAGCCUGAACCAGCCAAGUCGCGUGAGGGAUGACGGCCCUAUGGGUUGUAAACCUCUUUUGCCGGGGAGCAAAGUGCCGCACGUGUGCGGUUUGGAGAGUACCCGGAGAAAAAGCAUCGGCUAACUCCGUGCCAGCAGCCGCGGUAAUACGGAGGAUGCGAGCGUUAUCCGGAUUUAUUGGGUUUAAAGGGUGCGCAGGCGGAAGAUCAAGUCAGCGGUAAAAUUGAGAGGCUCAACCUCUUCGAGCCGUUGAAACUGGUUUUCUUGAGUGAGCGAGAAGUAUGCGGAAUGCGUGGUGUAGCGGUGAAAUGCAUAGAUAUCACGCAGAACUCCGAUUGCGAAGGCAGCAUACCGGCGCUCAACUGACGCUCAUGCACGAAAGUGUGGGUAUCGAACAGGAUUAGAUACCCUGGUAGUCCACACAGUAAACGAUGAAUACUAAUUGUUCGGGGAGAAUGAUCCCUGAGUGAUACAGCGAAAGCGUUAAGUAUUCCACCUGGGGAGUACGCC